UACGUAGGGGGCUAGCGUUGUCCGGAAUCAUUGGGCGUAAAGCGCGUGUAGGCGGUCCGGUAAGUCUGCUGUGAAAGUCCAGGGCUCAACCCUGGAAUGCCGGUGGAUACUGUCGAGCUUGAGUCCGGAAGAGGCGAGUGGAAUUCCUGGUGUAGCGGUGAAAUGCGCAGAUAUCAGGAGGAACACCAAUGGCGAAGGCAGCUCGCUGGGACGUGACUGACGCUGAGACGCGAAAGCGUGGGGAGCAAACAGG
rnacentral:rRNA from 1 species